GCUAAGGAUUUCUGUUUUUCGACAACCUAGGUUCUUCAGUAAAGAAAAUGGUGGUAAAUUGUAAUCCAUCUUUUCUUUCUUGAAUGAGAUAGUUUUUUUCUGAACAGCCCUUAAGGUUUCUUCGUUCAAUCCUGGAAGAUGUAUAAUUUCAUCUAACUGUAACAACUUUAAACAUCACAAACAUUUUUUAUCAUAUGUGCAGGAUGUAGCAUCUAUAUAAUUUAUGAUGAGGCAAAUGCCUUAAACAACUACCAAGUCUGCAAAUGUUCAAAAGCGAGCUGUUUUCUGUUUUGAACUUAGAAGCCAGAGGUUGCAGAAUAAUAGAGUCAAGGCCCAUUCAAAACAUGCUUUCACUCCCACUCAAGGUUUAAAAUAUGGAGAAUCAAUGCGGUAUUGAACAACGGUAGAUAGGGUAUGCAUCAUAUCAAGGAUCUUACUAAAGGGUAUCAAUAGAUACUUCAUGAUUUGGCGGACCUCAAGUCCCCCUGGAAUUGUCCUCAUGGUAGGCCCACCAUGCGUCACCUGGCAGACUUGAUCAGUAUUCACAAUGCAAGCUAUGGUAACAUGCACUCAGCAGCUGAGAUUAUCAAAAUUUCCUUCCUUGAACUAUGUUUCUGAUAUAGCUAUAAAUAGAUGACCACUAGAGCACAGUGCACAAGUGGUACUUCUUAAACAACCAAUAAUGUGCUUGUUGGGAACUUGUAAAAUCUGAAAAGUGACAUGUUAUUGGAUGGUGGAUUGAACAGAAGACCUAAUAUGAGAAUCUCUCUCCCACGGGAGUAGAGUUGAACCAAUUUCCAUGUAUCAAGAGGUAACCUCAAGACAUGCGGAUCUCCAUUUCUUCCCAAUAAUGUUAUAUUGAGUAAUCACUUCCUCUGUGUAAUAUGAAGAAUGUUUAAAACCUGUCUCAGGGGCUUCCUAUCAGUGGCAUUUGCACACUUCUUGCAUAAUAUUAACAUGAAAAUUUAUGUCU